GUUAAAUGUUGACUUAACUGGGCACGUUUAUUUAAAAAAAAAAAAGGAAGACUGAAGUAGAUAGUCAUAAGAAGGCUUUGGGCAGACAGGGUGCUUGUCUUGUUGGGGCAGUCUUCUUGCAUAACUAUUGGAGAGUAUUUACAGCAUUCUAUAAUAAUGUCACAUUUGUUUUGUGAGGGGAGACCAAGGUAGCUUUUACAUAUAAAUUGGCUCUCUUAGUAUUGAAAUAUAUUUAAACAAUUAUUUGAAACACAGCUAGGAAAUAACGGUGACAUUUCUGACAGUAUUUUGAAAUUAUAAAUAUUACUUUAAAUUUACAAGGAAAAUUUCCAGUAGUGGCUUGCAUUACAAAGUUAAUUUUUAAUGUUUCUACAUGAUUCUAUUGAGAUGGCCUUUGUUUUUGUGGUGAAGAUAAUAUAGUGGCAACAAUUUUGAGGAAUCUUUAAAGCUGUCAUAGAGGAGAUAGCCAAAGUUGGGCUAGAUUUUUACUAGAAUGUUGAAAUAAAAUGUAUCAAUAUACUUUUCAGUUCAGUUAGCCUUGAUGAAAAACAGUUAUUAUAUGAGUUUAAGGGUCUUGAUAAAUGUUGGCAUCUGUUUUUUUCUAAAACUCAUGAUGGUCAUCACAGCUCAACACUCUUGUAUUAUAUUUUAUUUGUCAACAUAUGAUGUAAUUUUUAUGGAAAACUCAAUUAGUGGAAUCUUUUAUUCAAUAUUCCCUUAUUUUGCUUCUUUCCAUCAUCAUUUCUCUUCCUUUCUUCUUUUGUUGAGGCAAGAAGCUUAAUAGCAUAGUUUCUACAGAGCUUUCUUACUUAUUUUUCUAAUAAUGCAUAUAACUGUGUGAUGAAGUUUAAAUGCUCUGUGAGCAAAACUCUAUUAAACAACCUGAAGAAAUGCACUGCUGACUAACAUUUCCCUUGGUCUUAAAUUGUCUCCGACGUAUUUUCUAGUCUCUACACCAUUAAUGGAUCUUAUUAAUAUAGUGUCUGUAUGGUUAUCAACAGUGCUGUAUUAUUGUCACAUAUUAAUUUGCAUUUUUGAUCAAAAAUAUAAACAGAUGCGUGUGUGAAGCAACCCAUUUUAUAGGAUGAGCAUAUAUCUAACCAUUUUCAUGUAACUGAAAAUGUGCUGUAUGUUGCAUUUUAUCCUCAUAUUGACUUUUCUACUAUCUACUCACCGAUUGUCUCGGUGCCUUUUUCCUUUUGUAUUAUUGUGUUACUUAAAGAAAUUGCUGACCUCUGUGUAAACAGUGUAAAAUCUGUUGAAAUUAUUAAUCCAAGGAGAUUUUAAUGUCAGUUUAAUUUUCCAGAGAAUAAAUUUUUGUGUGGGUUACAAGUU
rnacentral:lncRNA from 1 species